rnacentral:lncRNA from 1 species
AAUCCGACUGAAGAAGCUAGAGAAGAAGGAAAAGGAAAUACUUACCAAGCAAGAAAAGGCAAGACAGCAACGAUGGUAGAAAGAAAAGGAGCAGCGAGACAAGUAUGAGAAGAAAGACGAGAGGAAGGAAGAUAAGAGAAAAGAGAAGUGGUAGAAGAAGGAAGAGGAACUAAGGAAGAAAGAAGAGAAAGAAAGGCAGCAAAGGAUUAAAAGACAGACAAAACGACAACAGAAGACGGACGAGAAAAGAGAGAAGGCUGUUUCAAAGAUGGUCACAAAGGAGCUCAAAAAGGAGGACGAACGACUUAGGGAGGAAGAGGAGAGAAGAAGAAAACAAAAGAGAGAAGAGCAGAAAAGGGAGAGGAAGAAACAGCAGGAGCUAAAGAGAGAGAGAAGAAAAAAUGGAUGGAACAAUGUGAAAAGGAUGAGAAGGAGAAGAAAAAACAGCGGAAGAAGGAAGAAAAGGAAAGAAGACUGAACAUCAGGAAGGCAGAGAAGAAGGAAAAAUAUGAGGUCACAGCUCAGGACGUCUGGGCGGAGAGGAGGCUGAAGACGGUGGAGACCGGGGCAGCUGAUCUCAGCCCCUUCAUCUGUGAAUUUUCUGCAGAUGCCAACCUGAGUCCAGCGGAGGACACGGUGACUUGGUGGAAACCAAAGCUCUGGUUUCGCACCAACGUCAUCCGCAUCCACCCAGUUUAAAAGGUGAGCAGACCAGAGUCUUUUUGUUUAGUAUUAUUGCAUUAUGUAAAAUUAUUCUCAUGACUCGUGACAGUACAACAUUGUAAACACAUUAUGCCGUCACAGUUCCAUCAGGCUCCUGCACUGACUUAGUACAGAACUGUUACUUGCAUCUACUCUGUCACAAACAGAUGAUGUUUAGGGUAAAUUGUGAAUGAGUGUUCUGCUGCUUUGUCCCUUGAGGUGGAUGUACCUCAUCAGAGGAGGAGACACGUACCAAUUUAUUUGUUUUACUAUUUGUUCUGUUAAGUAAAGUUUAAUUUAGAUUGAGAUAAGAUGUCCUGUUCUGUGUCUGUUCUGACACUUUGUUUGUUGUUAUUAUAAACAUGUUGUAUUUAUAAGAUAUUGUGUUUUAGCUGCAGAAGGUGACUCCCAGCAACAGUAAAUACAACUCAAAUGUUCACGUCUUAACAUUUUCUCUGAUGUAUUUAAUCACUCUGUAUUCUAAUGCUUUCACUUUACCAGACACAACCAAACUAGACCAAGAUCCUGCGUUCCAAGCAGCUCGGGCCCAAGGUGGAGAUGGUAAACCGACGCAGGAACAACAGCUGCACAUUUACAUUGAGUAAGAAUGACAUGUCAGAGCUUAUUCAUAGUCUGUUCUUCAAAUCAUCUACUCCUGAAACUAAUGUGUUUAUUUUGGUUGUGACAGGUGCAGCUGUGGAGGCUGGAGAACUUCAUCCAGGGAUAGGA